rnacentral:rRNA from 1 species
AUGACAAGCAGAAGAUGCUUUGAGUGCUUAGAUCGAACUUUGCAUGACCUUCUGUCCUAUGAUGAUCCUUUUCUUUCUGAUGUUCCAUUUGGGGGGAAAAUUGUUGUCUUAGGAGGUGACUUUAGACAGAUAUUACCUGUUAUUGAAGGGAUUGUCGAUGCAACUAUAACUAAUUCUCCUAUUUGGAAAUCUGUUUUGGUGCUGCGUUUGUCCAUCAACAUGCGUCUCUCAAUGCCUGGUGCGGAUCCUGUGUUACAGCAAGGUGUGGCAUUGUUUAGUAAGUGGGUGUUAGAUCUUGGAAACGGAAAGCUCUGAGCAACCAAGAGGGAAGGAGAAUCUGAAGCCACGUGGAUAAAAAUACCCGAUGACCUAUUGAUUCACACCGACGGAGAUAACAUUUCUGCCAUAGUUUCAUCAACUUAUACAGAUUUUCUUGCGAACUAUGAUAAACCUGGGUACCUUCAUGAGCGAGCUAUUUUACCAACAAAUGAGGUGGCUGAGAAGGUUAAUAUUCAUGUGAUGUCUCUUGUGCCGUAGAGUGGCCGAGAGUACUUAAGCUGCGACUCAAUAUUUGAAGCCGCUAAUACUGUGAAAGAAAGCAAUGUGUUUUAUCCUCCAGAGGUUUUGAACGUAGUUUCUAUGAUAAAUUUUCCUGGGCAUAGAAUAUUCUUAAAAUCCGUGAUUCAGGCUGUUAUUAUGAUGGGUUCUCAUAUAGGAAAUGUUGUCUACAUACCCAGAAUAGAAUUGAAAGGGAAGAAAACCAAAUGGCCUUUCAUCUUGAAGCGACGACAGUUUCCUAUUAGGUUGUGCUAUGCGAUGACAAUAAAUAAAAGUUAGGGUCAGACCUUAUCUUUUGUUGGAAUAUAUCUGAAGCAGCCUGUGUUUACUCAUGGGCAGCUUUAUGUUGCCGUGUCGCGUGUCAUGUCUAGGAAAUCCCUUAAGUUUCUUAUAGAAGAUAAAUAUGAGAAGUGCAUGUCUGAGACUCGCAAUAUCAUCUACCCCGAGAUUUAUGCCUCGGCUGGUUCCUUUUGA